rnacentral:rRNA from 1 species
UACGGGGGGGGGCAAGCGUUGUUCGGAAUUACUGGGCGUAAAGGGCUCGUAGGUGGCCAACUAAGUCACACGUGAAAUCCCUCGGCUUAACCGGGGAACUGCGUGUGAUACUGGAUGGCUUGAGUUUGGGAGAGGGAUACGGAAUUCCAGGUGUAGCGGUGAAAUGCGCAGAUAUCAGGAGGAACACCGGUGGCGAAGGCGGUUCUCUGGGCAUGUCCUGACGCUGAGGAGCGAAAGUGUGGGGAGCGAACAGG